AUGACCUUACUUGAACAGGAUCUGUUCUAUAGGAUUAUACCGUUGCAUCCUUAAUUAAUAAAGAGGCAAGCACUUAAGUACAGGCUCUUUUUAUUUUUUGUACU
rnacentral:snoRNA from 1 species